GGGGUGGAGCAGCAGGUCUCUUUGGAGGUGGCCUGGAAGAAACCGGACAGAGAGGAUGGGAAGGGGAGAAACAGAAGAGUGUGACGAGAUCAUGAAGGAAAGAGGAGGCGUCUACUGAAUGUAAGGUAGAGCCAAAGGCAUCUAUUGAUGACUGAAGAAGAGGCAUGAAUAUGACAAAAACAGGAAGAAGCCCACAAUGAUGAUGAAAUUAGAAAGGAAGACAAGAACAACAAGGUUGUGGAAUUCAGAAGCCAUAUAGACAAGAGGUAACACACCUGAGAAAGAUGAUCCCUAAAUUUGUCUUGGAGAAAACUCGGAAGUACCUGACUACAUCAUAGACCUCCCAAACAGCUUCCAAAUGUCAGAUACCACUGAAAAUGGGGAUAAAGGUAGGGUCAAAAAUAGGAGGAUUGGGUUAUAAGUCUGUAUAAGAAGUUGUUAGAUCCCUACAUCCUCUCUUCAAACCUGUAUAGCCAGAUAAUGGUCCCUCUCCCAGCCUGGCAGAGGCUGGAUAAGGUAAAUAGAGAAAGUUACCUCCUGGAGAACAUUUGGCACAUUUGGGGAUGGAGUUCAGUAAUAUAAAUGAAGGGGUAGUGAAAAUUUAUGGGAACAUUUAUAACCUAACAGAACCCCAUGUCUUUUACCCCAUUCUAAUUCCAGACCACUAGAGAUUAGAAAAUUGUUCUCUGGGGUAUCUGACCACUUCCAGAGGAAAGACAUAAAGAUGCUGAUGUCAAGAAUGACCCAACUAAACGGCCCAGCCAGAUGACCCAGUUGAAGCUGGUGGACAAGAAGUUUCAUUCAUGGAAUCAGAACUUCCAAUAAGCUGGGAAAACGGCAAUGGAUUAAUAACAAGAAAUUAAUGGUGAAGUGGUGACGAAAAUUCUACAUUGCUUAGAAAGCAAAUAGUGAAAUGAACAUUUACAUUCUGGCAACCUCAGAAGUACAACGAACAGAGGACACCAGCCAGGUAGGGCAAAGGCCUGUGCGCCCCCUUUUGCUGUUACAUGUUUAUCAGAUGCGUGCUCUGUUUCUGUUGUAUUACAUUACUUUUCUCUUCAAUGUCUACUGAGGAAGAACAAGUAGCUCCUCAGGCAAGUCAACUGUUAACUCUGCAGUUUUUAUUUAAUCUCCCAGGAAUGUAACCCUUAACUUUAAAGAAUGUAGUGACCAUAAAACUUAUAAGGCAUGUUUCUUAAGGAAAUUGUACCUGUUUAUUUAAUCUAUCAGAUAUGAAUGUUAUAGAAAAUUAAAUUUGUCCACUUAAGCUGUAGAUGAACUUUUCACCUUUCUGAUCAGAAAUUCACCAUUUUAUAGUAUAGGUUCUGUUAUUAAUCAGAAUAUUUCAUUUAGACUCUUUCUAUCCAACUUUUUCUUAGAGGCUAUUCAAAAUAAAGGUGCUUCUAACAGUUUCAUAUCGAAAUACGAUGCAAAGCCUUGCUCUUCCAUGGUAUCCUUUGAGUGAGCCAAACUUAUUUAGCCAUUCCCCUAUAGUUAAAUAGCUAGGAUGUUUCCAACAUCUCACCUUUAAAACAAUAGUGCUAUGAAUGUCAUAAAUGUUUGUAUAUGUAAAUAUGUAGGAUAAAUCCCUAUCAGUAGAAUUUCAAAAGGUAUACGCAAUCAGUAUUUUCAUACAUAUUUAAAAUUUUCCAUCCAUACAAAGGUUGCUAACAUAUUUAUUUAAAAUUUUAAAAAUAAUUUUAUAUGCCUCUUGUAACCAGUAAUAGGAUGCAAAGUUUUUGUUUUAAGGUAACAUUGCUCCUCUUCCCCCAUUGUCUCUGUCAUCUAUAGUACUCCCUAAGGUAGUUCAUGUUAUUGCAAGGGUGUGUAUCAUCCCAAACAUAUUGCUUCCACAUACAUAUAUCAGCAUACAUAUAUAUAUAUGUAUAGCAUAUAUAUAUAUGAGCACAUAUUAAUAUAUGCCCAUGCACAUACAAGCAUGUUUUUGUUAAUUUUUACUGAAAUGGAAUCAUGCUACAUACUUAUGAACAAAUUGCUUCUUUCACCUUAUAUCACUUAUAAUUGUUAUUCUACAAAUCAGUACAUAUAAAAAAUACAUAUUUACAUAUGUAAUACUCUAUCUGUUAUAAUUUUCUGCAUGCACAUGUAUGCAUAUACAUAUAUUCAUAAACAUAAAAAUCUAAACGGGAUUUUUUUG
rnacentral:lncRNA from 1 species